UCUAUCUAUCUAUCUAUCUAGGAAAUUUGGUGUUUCUAACUCUUACAAUAUUUUACAUGGUGUGGGAAAUAUGUUUAAAUUAAACUCGUGCCUGUUUGCAUAAUAUAAUGCUUUGUAAAAGUCUGUUCGUGUCACUUUCCUAUGGAGUUUUUCCUCUAUUUCAUUAUAGCAAGGCAAAUUCUUAAACUGUACAUUCAAGGUCCUAUUGCUUAAGUCCAGGCACACUGAACUCACAGGGCUCAGAAGAAGAACGGAAAGACUGCAAGACUGGGGCGAUGACUGACUGCAGAGAAAGUGUUCUCCAAACCAUAACAGGGCCAAGGCACAGAGGAACUCACAGAAACGGUGGCCGCCCACUCAAAGCCUGAUAGAGCGUCAAACCAGACGGCGGCGUCCCAGCAGAGAGAGGGGUUAGUCAACAUUCAGACCCACCCCAACCAAGAAGCUGUUUGUAAAGGACACUUGCUGUCAGAGGAAGAAUCAGUUCUGUGGAGUGUCACUUGGGUGUUUCAAUCACACACUCAGGGAGCCUAGCAUGAUUCGAUCCUUGAAGACUGGUGGAAUUGUAUAGCCCUGGCUUGUUUAGGUUAGGCCUUUGGCGAGUUUCAAAAUUUUGAUCGUAAUUUGUCCAGUGUCAAACCUGGUUAAAGAAGAACAUCCAUUGGGAGGUGACUGCGUCAUGAGGAUGGAGAUAUGAUGAGUGGAUUUACUAUCUUUAUGAAGAGCUGAAGAGACCAGGGUCAUUCCCUCUCUUCCCUCUCUCCAUGUGAGGCCACAGCAAAAAGAUGGCUUUCUGAAAAUGUGGAAGUGGGUUUCACCAGAACUGUGCACCGCAACAGGAAGAUAAGAUUUUCUUAGACAAAGCUCAGGGAAGGCCUCUCCGCACAUAUCAUCUGAGCCAAGGCAAAGGCUGGAUGCUGUGUUCCAGGCAGGAGAUACACUCACGCACAGUAGCUAUAUGGUACCCAUGGGUUAGAAGGCGAGAGUGACAGAAGCAGAUGCCCCGGUCCCAGGGCCCAGUGACCAUUCCUGACAACCAAGGGUCAAGGUAAGUAAUGCACUGAUGUUGCCCUUUUCAUUUUUAUUGAAAGCAUCUCUUCUAAAGUUUAUCAUUCAUCCGAUG
rnacentral:sRNA from 1 species